rnacentral:rRNA from 1 species
AUCGAACGCUGGCGGCAGGCUUAACACAUGCAAGUCGAGCGGAGCGGCGGACGGGUGAGUAAUGCCUAGGAAUCUGCCUGGUAGUGGGGGAUAACGUCCGGCAAUGGGCGCUAAUACCGCAUACUAUCAGAUGAGCUUUGGUCGGAUUCGCUAGUGGGUGGGGUAAUGGCCUACCAAGGCGACGAUCCGUAACUGGUCUCAGAGGAUGAUCAGUAAAACGGGAACGUGGACACGGUCCGGACUCCUACGGGAGGCAGCAGUGGGGAAUAUUGGACAAGGGGCAAAAGCCUGAUGCAGCCAUGCCGCGUGUGUGAAGAAGGUGUUCGGAUUGUAAAGCACGUUAAGUUGGGAGACGUUACCAGCAGAGUAAGCACCGGCUAACUACGUGCCAGCAGCCGCGGUAAUUC